UCUUCCUCCUUCAGCUGCCACUUCACCUUUCUGCUGAAGCAUCCAUGUCCAAGGUCAGAUUUUAGGUCCUUUUGGGUUGCAUUGACAUAUUUCUCAGCUGUGCCACAGAAUCCUUGCUUCCAGCUCUGAGAUACCUGACAAAGUGAUGGAUGCAAAUUUACAGAAGAUGCUGCGUCAUGGAUCCUGAGACAACUAAGGGAGAAGAAAUUUGUGGGUGAGUCAAACUCUAAGGAUCCCAGUUCCUACAGCUACAAUCACUGCUGCAAUGGAGGCACAUGGUUCUUUACACCAUGCUUGGGGAGAGUCAGACAUACAGCAGGACAAGCGUGAGAAGUCACCAUGCUGAGAAGGGAGCUGUUACAUCAUAGCCAGGAGGAAAUAACAGGAAAAAAAUAGGACUGCAAAGCUGACUAACUUCUAAAACUGCAAUAACAGUAAUUCUUAGCUGUACACUUCUUCCUGGAGCUAAAUUUCUCAGCCAGAUCAGUGACAUCACAGUCACAGCUAUCCAAGGGAGAUGUUAUCUUAUGCAUUCAAGAUACCUUGGCAUACCCAAGAAAGGGGUGACAAUGGAAAAAUAAAUUAAAAAAACAAGACUAAAAACACAGGAGUCUAGAUUACUGUAGAGCAUUCGAUGCAACGCCAGGGGUCAUACAGGUAAUUUGUUUUAAAAGGGCUCCCGGGGACUUUCCCUGUUUUGAUAUUCUUUUACAAGUGCACCUUACUUCAGUUAGAUUUAAGCUAAUUAUUUAGUGGCCAGCACUGACUCAAGGAAAGAUAAGAACAAACUACAGUAAUUUCCACUCUGCUCUUCUUGCUUCCUGCUCAUGCAGAAUGUGUAAAGCAGCAUGCUAGCUGGGCUUGUGGGAACCUCUUGUCAAAACCAGCAUUACUGAACACACAAGCUUCAGUUACUCUGUCCACACAGAGGACCAAAUUCUGUGAGCUCCAUGUGAUGAUGGAAAUGUCACCAAUGUAAGGCUGGAAUCAUAGAGCAAAAUCUACCCUCCCUGUAUUCAGCAAUGCCCAGAAGCUCUUGCCAUGCAAACUGCUGGAUUUACAAGGGUCAGUGUGUCCUUACAGGCCCCCAGAACGCUGUUAAUAGUGCAGCUAAGCAAAGAUGAGAGCUACUUGCUGCUAAGAGGCUUGAUCCCACCUUCCCCUUCUUCUUUUCACUUCGAGCUUGGCAGUAGCUCUUGAUUCAGGAGUCUCUGGGCAGACAGGGGAGGGCCAGCACCAGGAAAGUGAUGUGAGUGCAGGAAGAGCCACAGAGCACUGCUUUCAGAGACAAUCAGCUAUUAAAUCAAGUCACCUGCAGCAUCAAAUUGCAAGGCCAAAAAUGGCCUCAGAUCUUUUCCAGUGCAACUUUCCUUUAACCAAAAGCCCUGGUGAAGUAUCUCACUUUCUUUCUAUUCCAGGAGCUGGAUGGAGGGUCCUGCUGCUGCCGCAGGCAGAAUAAACAGCAGGUUUCAAGUGUGAUGUAGCUGAAGAGCACUUGUUUGUGCAAGAGGAUUUGGGUGAUGUUAUUUAUCACGGACAUUUCUCACUCCGUGUUUACACAUCUUUUUAGCUUCCUCAGCUUAUUUGUGAAGACAUUCCAGAACAAUCAGCAGAGGAUGUAAAGCUGAUAGCUUAUCACCCAGGCACCAAGAAGACACAUGCAUCCUGAUAUAUAUCAGGAUAGAGGAAGGAAGUGAUUUAGUCCCCUGGAGUGUGAAUGCCGGUGCUCUACAGCUCUCAGAAGCCAGCACAUAGGAAAGAUUUCCAAAGGCUGAGCUGUAACUUCUACUGUGGUGUCUGCAGGAGCUACUUCUCAGCAUAAAAUAGCAGGAGGCUGCACAGUACCCUUGAAAUUUCCCGGUGGUGGCAGAAGGACCCCUGCUGGGACCCAGACAGCUGCCAGGACUAGCAGGCUGCCAGCUACACAGCUCUUCAAGAUCAUCCAAGAAAAAAGCUUCUUAUCCAUGCAAGUGCAACAUCUUAUUAAAAUCCUGUUCUCCAGACAUUAACUAAUCAGCCCAACAAGAUCUGUAAAGAUGUAUUUUGAGCUCACUCUCACCCUCCUCAGGUCCUUUCCAUCUCCUGCAACAGUCUCCUUCCAGCAACAGGCAGGAGCUCCCAGGCAGCCAGUGUCCUCUUCCCACAGUCAUCGCAUGGUGCCCUCCCUGUGCUGCCUGUGGCUCUAAGCCCAUCUCUCUUCAGGUUAAAUGGUUCCCGCUAGGCAGCAUCCCCAUGGAGGAACACCACCUGGUGCCUAGAAAGGGGAAUACAGGGGUAUGGCAUGUCGUGUAUAAGAGGGAAAAGAUGGGCUGGUAGACACGUAUGCUACUGUCCCUUCAGAGAAUGAAACCCAUAUAUAAGAAGAAAAAAAAAAACCCAAAAAACAAAAAACAAAACAAAACAAAAAAACCCAAAAAAAAACCAAAAAAAACCCCCUAAACUUCAUAAUUUAUGCAGCCAGAUUAUGAUAUAACCUCCUCUGCUUUACUGUCUCACUUCAACAUGCUGCCUUUGUCUCACAUCCACUUCUCUGCCUUACAUGUCCAAUGGGUGGCUGCUGUGCUGUGUGUGCUCACAGGCAUAUCCAGGGCCUUAAAGAUGUUAUGAUUCCUGGCAAACAAAACCAAAUAUACACGUUUGCUUCCUGGCUGGACAGUCAGGAUCUUUCCUCACUUCCAGACACCCACCUUCCUCUACUACAACCCUUUACAUGCAAUUAGUAGCUUUUAUAAUACUAUAGUGCAGCAAAGAUCUGUAUGUGGAAGAGCACAUUAAACCCACAAUCUUUUGCUGUAAAACAAUUUUCUGUGUUUUUAAGGAAUUACAAUUAACUGCAGAUAUGUUUAGUUUAGGUUGCCCUUUGCAUAAUGUCUCAAAACAGUCCACUGGAACAAAGAUGAUUAUUCUUUACAAAGAUGAAGUCACUUUCAGGAGUGUGGGUUAUAUGUCUUAGUCUACGACUAAAUGGACAUGAGGCACUUUUUAAAAGCUCAGGAGAGAAGCUAUGUUCAGCUGCCUGCUCUUUCCUAAAGCAGUAAUCUGAUAGACUUAGUCCUACCUCUAGCCAGAGUUUUGACAGCCAGCAACUCACACAAGAUUUACACACGGUAAAAAUCAGAAAUCAGCUAAAUCAUGUUGUUGGAAGCUGAGCUAAAAUGGAAGUCUAUUUGAUGAGCUUGAAGAAUGGCCCAUACUUUUUCAGAGAAACCUGCUCAUCUAUCUCCUUAAAGUGUGCUCAGUUGCCUUGGCACUGAUCCCUAUCCCUGCUCCAGACUAGUGUGGACCACAUUUCUCCCCCAUGUACACCCCUGAGUAACAGAUGAGAGAUGGUGGGACUUCCUGAGCACAGGGAGUUGCUGCUGCCCUGGAAACUGCAAUGGCACUGCUUUUAUUAGUUGUGUGAUGUUUACAGUCUCAUUAGUUGUGUGAUGUUAACAGUGAUUCAGCUAGAAGCAGGUCAGCACUUUUGGGGGGAUCUUCCCUGGGAAUAGAUCUCAUUGCCUAACUCCAACUGCCACUAUUCCAUGAGAACAAAAAGCACAAGGCCUUGUGAACAAGCAUGCUUUGCCUUUUUAAGUGCAUAACACCAAUCAUUAUCUUCCCUCCACUAAUCUUACUCUCUUUUUCACCUGUUUCUUUUUUAUGGAACCCCUUGUUCUCUUCUUCUUUCCUGCUUAAUUUUUCUCUGCCUUUAGCCUUUUGCCUUGUUAAUUGAUUAUUCCUUCUUUGUCUCUCUUUCCUUCCCUCCCUGCUUCCUCUUUAACAGAAGGUGACACACUGCUCAUGCUGAGAGCAUCUAGCAGAUGACUGUGAAAACAAGCUCAGGCUUGUAGACUGCUGGAAGAAAUGACAGAUGCCCCUUCCAAAGUGACUGCCACACAAGUGCCAGAAAAUUGAGAGAUGAAAAUCAAGUUAUUUUCAGGCAGAAAGGUAUCAUCCUACCAGGACCUGAACAGCUAGCAGGCACCUGUAUGCAGUAUAUGUAUGAGCCUUUCUGCUCAGGGUGUUGUUCUGGUCUGUCAGCUCUUCUGCAGCAGCUUUUGUAUAUACAUUUCCCCUUGACAGAUUGAAGAUUUUAUUCCAAGAUAUCCACAUUUGACCUGAAGCAGAUUGCAUAACUAGGACAUUGCAUAAAUAAGUAUUAAUAUCUUCCUAUUUUCAUAAAUAGCUUUACCAAGAUCAGCAUCUUCCUCCCUGCUUUGGGGAGAGAGACUGACGCAUAGCACACUGCAGUGACCAGCUCUGUGUCACACAUCAAAGCAGUGACAGAGCCCAUAGCUCUUCUGUCCCCAGACACAGCUCCUCAAUAAUUAUUAGGAUGAUAGUUGGGGUUUAAAUUCUCUUCUAUAGACACGCCCUUCAAAUACUAUGUGAUCUAAUUAGACAUCAUUUAAUAGCCUUAAUAGUCACCCUUCCACAGACUCAUGUGGCAGCUACAUGGCACUCUCUUUCUGAAAGGGCCAAACCAAAAGAUUUUACUGCAAACUGUUAUUCUUGAGUGGUUUGAAAACUUCCAGACUUUAGAAAUAGGAAGGGUCAAAGUCAAGACCUGAAAUCCAUCUACUGGAUAUGAAUUUCCAUGCAGCCUCCACUGGUAAGGGUUGUUUUAGCACAUCUGACUAGAACAAUGACCUGAUCAGUUUGGUUUCAAAUGGCUGCCUUUGGAGUCUGAAGAACUUGAGACUGUCUGGAAUUUAAGCAAAUUUAAAUUUUCAAAGCCAUUAAAUCUUCCAACACCUGAGAGAUAUGUUUGGCUUUAAAGCUUACAUGCAUUUUUAAUCUGGUACAUGGUAUAACACUAUCUACUUUGUCCAAAACGUAUUUAUGUUAAUAUUGGACAGUUUUAAUGCUGCAUUUCAUUUACAACUGAAAGUUGUAGAACAACAGAUAGUUAACAGGAAACAAAACCAGUUCUGAGAGCCCUUCCUCUUUUAAUAAGGUUUGCAAUGGUAGCUAGUUUAUGCCUUGUAACUAUAAAGGAGAACAUGAAUAAGAGUGAAUGGAUCUUUCAUAUACUCCAGCCAGAAAGCACAGUUUUGUUCAUUUAGUUUGACCUCCUUUGCUUGAAAACAAACAAAAAAAAAAACAAAAAACAAAAAACCAAAACCCCCAGGCCAUAAAAUUUCAAGGUGUUGCUGAAUCAAACCCAUAAAUUCGACAUACUAGAGCCAAGAUAAAAAAUUCUGCCAAGUCUGCAUUUUACAAUAGCUAAGAUGUGGAGAAGCAUUUUUUUCUUUAUAGAAAUUGUCUAUAAAAGGCUUGUAAUACCAACACUGCCACUUCUUCCUACACAUUCAGUCUUGUCUUCAGCCCAUCGUGCAGGAAAGGGUGCUCUGUUACAGCUCUCAGUGCCUCAGGACUCCUCUCUAACACAACAUCUGCAGAUCCUUUCAGACAGCUCUGUGCUUGUCUGAGCUGUACAAGAAGCUGCAUGAAAAGGCCAAAUCUCCUUCAUGUUUAUAAGAGUUUUGUAUAUACCAAUAUCAGCUGUAUCAGACUAUUGAAGACACAUGAGAGAUGUAGUUUGCUACGGAGAAAUGUUGGGGUUUUUGUUGUGGCUGUGUCUUUGGAGUGGUUGGGUGAGUCACAUCUUCCAGACUCAGCUGGUCCCUCAUCCCCAUGCCCCACAGAAGUCUGCACCUUGCUCAGAAGAGCCAAUUGAAGAGAGAAGCCCCUCUAAGAUAGUUCUUGUAGAAACAAAAUGCUACUGCUUUUUCUGUAGGAGAUAGUUGGAACACUAUAGUUUUUUCUUCUGCUGCAAAGCCAAUUUAGAAGAGUUUUCCUCUCCUUGCCUCUCCUUUCUGGACUCCAGGAAUUAUUUCUUUCACCCUUUCCAGUGUUAUGCUGAGGCAACUCCUUAGCAUAUCAUGCUCAAACCAUAUCACUAGAAUGAUCCAGAUUAAAAACGGAUCCAAAUUUUUUAAAAUGCCAAAAAUAGGCAUUAAUGGAGAUGGGAAGGAGAGGAGAACUAUGGAAGAAUCAUCAGCCCUUUGGAAGGUGGAAAACACCCCCAUGGGACAGGCCUGUCCUUGGGCUGCCUGUGCCCUUCUGUAAGAGGCAAUCCUGUCCCAGGAAGGUCCUGCUUCUCUCUUCUGAUCUUCAGAUACUUCAUCCGUCACCACAGUGCCAAGCACUUCUGAGCCUGUGUUGGGAACUAGGCCAGGCAAUUCCUUGGGGUCAGAAGGAAUCUUUUUGCACCCAGGGAUAAGAACUCCUAAACCAGCAUAUCUGCUAAAGAAAGUAUGAGAUUGCAAUAACCUGGAUUUGAGUCUGUGUGUGUGUGUGUGUGUGUGUGUGUGUGUGUAUGUAUGUCUUUCAUUAAGCCAAAUCAUUCCAGAUAUUUAAAGAGCAGUCAGGCAAACACCUCAGCUGGCAGUGACCUCCAGAAAGGCAGGGGGCAGACAGACCAGAAUGAGCAGCAAGAAGAAUCACUGUACCCUCAAGCACAGUCACAUUACAUAUCUAAUAAAUAAUCUAACUUCCUUUCCAGCUCCAUUUUAUUUUCCUGUCAUGUCCUUGUCAAUCUCAAAAGGUGUGUCAUGGGCAUGCUAUGAGUACAGAACAUUGGAAUCCACAACACGGAGAGAAGUUAUCGAGCAGGAAAUGUCUGGAAAAAUCACUGGGAGAACAACACCCCAUGCUGCAGUAGAGGACAAAAACACCAACAGCCUCUCUAACCUCAAAUCUGAUGACAGUAUAAACCAAGUGCACGAGAAAGAUGCAGAUAUGAGUGUACACUGAAGUCCUCACAGUUAUUGCUGACAGCACACUGAAUUUAUCCUCUGCCUACAUGACACAUGGUGGAUCCACUAGUCAUGGAUCUUUCUGUAGGAAUAGAAUAUUCACAAUCUGGUUUGAAACAGUAGCUGAAGCAUGUCUUUCUGUCCUUUCCCCCAGUUUAUUAGGGUUUUUCACACUCCAGUUUAAAUUACCUUGUUCAGUGAAUAGAUGGUAUGUCAAUGCACUUUCAUUGAAAUUACUUGGAAAACAGAAGGCUGCCCUAUGAAUUUUUUACCACAUCCUCUACAUACUGUUGUUUUCACCUCUGAACUAUUAAAAUGUUUUUUUUUCAUUUCAGAUGCCAGUGUCACACCUAUAAAAAUGGUCAGGAAGGACAAAUGUAUAGCAACAAGUAUACACUUAGAACUCUUAUUCUGUCAAAUUAAUUCCAGCAACAGUAUAUUUCCAGAAUCAAUACUGACUGACAGCCAGUCCUUCUAAAUAUCAGCAUCCUCAUGAAUAAAAUCUACUCUAUAUCACACUGCACCUGCACAGACAACGUAAGAAAAGCAAAACCCUGAGACCUUCAAUUAGGCACAUCUAUGAUUGAUGUGCCUAAGUAUACACAAAUGCUGAAUAAUUUGUACUUAACAUGCUUCCUAAUUUUGGGGGGAAUGCAGCAACUUUAACAAAUCCAUCUACAUGUUUGCGAGACUGAGAAUACAAACCUCUUCACAAGAAAAGAGGUAUUUCUCCAUUCUCAGCUAGACAAGUUAUCAAGUCUCAAUCAGAGCAAGGACAUUUCAUUCCUGUAAAUACUUCCUGCUUAUCUCUAGUGAUGAUAACAAGAUUCUGACCUUGAAUCAAUGUCACCAGUCACCAGCCAGUGGCAGUAGACCCAUUUGUUCUGUGAUUUUGUACAAAAAGCCACAUUAUUGUAUAAUCUGAAUGCUUGAGAAAGCCUGCUAUUCUUGGACUAAAUGCAACCAAUAAUCUUCACUGGAGAUGGCAGUGGGAUGCAACUUUAUCUUCCAAAUCACUCAGAAUUUCCCUCCAGUGUCCAGCAUUUUCUUCCUAUGCCCUAGGAGCAACAAUUUUCUACACACCUUGCUGUGUGAUUUUUCUAAAACAUGUAGGAACAUCCAGAUUUAACAUAACUGGGAACACUCAGCAUCUAUGCCUGAACACCAUCUGGAUCUCAAUUUCACAUUUAAUUAGGGUAUUUCCAAGCUCUAUAUAGAAUUCCUAAAGCCAAAGUCUUCUUGCAGAAAGUACAAAAUUAGGUAUUCAGUACAAUGUGCAGAGAAUGAGUCAAGCCUAAUCCAUCUGAUUGCAGGAUGAUCUGAAAAUCCUGUCUCUCCUCUGGGCCUGAAACAUCCUUCCAUGUUUGUAACCUGGUUAGAAAUGCAAGACUAAAAACACCUCCUGGAUUUUUGAUACCAAGCUGUCCUAGUGGUUGUUAAUCAUACUUUCAUGGAAGCCAAGAAGUUCAGGUUUCAGGGACAGAUUUGUCUUUUCUUUAUUCCAUGACAACCUUCUCUCCCAGGCAAGAGUGUGAGCUUCUAACUUCAUUCAGGUGAGUGCACCAAGUGGCUCUUUACUGGCUCUAGUAAUUUUUUUUUGUUAAUGUAGCAACAAAAGCAUGAUCAAGCCUAAUCUGGAAUAAAGCUCAUCGUAAACUUCAAACCUUGUAAAUCUCAGAACCAGAAUAUACAUGCUAAUAUUUUUUUCAUUAUUUUCUAAUAUAUUUGUUGAGUAUGGACAGGUGGUUCUUUAACAGCCCUCCUCCCUCCUAAGCAUCUUUAAGUUUCCCAUUUGUACUGAUCAUUUGAAAAAUCAGUUCCUGACUUUUCUAGAAAUUAUUCUGAGUCCUUAAUGAGUAAGAAGAUUUAAGCACUAGAUUAUUAACAAUUUUUACCAAGCAAUGAAAGUGAGCCCUGAACUUUAAUUUAGUCAUCCUUGAUAUUCAGACAAAAAAAAUAAAAAAUAGUAUGAGUGGCUUCCAUUCAAUGUUUGGUGCCAAUUAUCUAGGUCAGAUACAGCAUUCUUCCUUCAUAGUGUAGGCAGCAUCAGUAAAAUCAGUUCUUGGUAUUUCAUCUAAAGAGACAAGCCACCACACUCAGCCCAAUUAUUGGCAUCCCCAGCUAUAUGUCAAGAGGGCACUAGAUAUCUUGAAUAAGCAAUUCAGUCAAUGCUUUCACUGAAAAUAAGUAGUGUUUAAAGGCAUGUGAUAGACUACCUGGUUUUUGCAGCUUUCCAGACAUUUAAGAGGAAAGCAGUGCUGUUCUUUAUUUUGAGCACUGUCUCAUUUCAGACAAUUGCAAACUAUGUCAGCAAGCUGCAGUGCAGGCAUAUUCAGAGGUUUCACUCAAUUACUAGGGCCAACAGAGCCUUGAUAAUUAUUUUCACUUUUCACCUGCUCAACCAGAGUAGCUGAAAGAGAUCAAUUUCAUGCUGCAACUGAAUUCCCAAAGGAGCCAGAAGCCUCUGGUUGCACACACUAAAGCUCAAACACAGCAUCUCAUUCAUAUGCUCAAGAAGGCUUUUGGGAAUAAGAACAGCACUGUCACUUAAAGAUGUGAUUUACACCUGCAAGUCAACUAGCAGUGUUAACACACUUGGAGAUCAAUACUAUAGUGGUAUAUCAUAGCAGACCUUUCAUUUGUUCAUUUUUACUGUUUUAAGGUACAACUUAAUGUAAAGAAAACCUUUGUACUGAGUCAGACAUCAUAUUUCAAAGCAAAGUACUUUCCACACUGUGUAAUUCCACUGUGUAAUUACAGUGCGGAACUUGUCAUUUCAGAACACUGAGGUGGCCCACAGUGCAGCUGAGAUCAAAAGCAGCAUUGUGCAGGCUGCUCAACAUGACUGCCUAGAUGCAAGGGCUUUCUCGGGAAGUUCCUUGAAGUACUGGACCCGGGAAAAAUGAUCAGGGAAAAGAUCACUUUCUGUAUAUUCUGAUUUGAUGUACUUCCCUCAAAUAUUUGUUCCUGCUAGUUGUGAGUCACAGGGCUGCUAAGGGCACACUUCUGGCUUAGUCUGACAUAUUUAUCUCUGUGUUUUCCUAUACUCACCAGCACUAAUUGUAAUUACCAAGGAACAUGGAUGAUGUACAGUUCUGCUCAAGGUAACCUUCCUGAACCUGGUAUCCUUCCUGUGACCGACAGAUUGUAUGUGUAUGGGAGUCCUUAAUAAAAUGGAUAUUAAGUGUGUUUACACAAGCUAAUUGCAGCCAAUAGGCCUGACCAGACCCAGUCUAAGUGAUUUCCUUCUCUGUCCUUCCUCUGAUUUCUUACUAUCAUCUUCCCUACAGGGCAUAUGACAGAGUUAUGUUUGAUGGAAGGUAAUGUUCUCUCUGAUUCAAAAAGAGGUAUUGUUUGUAUUUUUCUAAAAGAAUAUAAAGAACUGAGUUUGACAAUCCUUCUAGUAAACCACUACUCAAAACACAUUCCAAAGGUUCCAGCAGAAUAUCUUAUUUCCCAUUUGUUUUGUAUGAACUAUAUCAAGCUUAAGCACAUGAUGGUUAAGUUAAAAAAAAAAAUAGAGAGUCCUCUUGGAAAUUUUACCAGUUGAUAAGAGGGUAUUUUCCUGUGACUUUCUCUAUAGUGUAUUGAAGCAAGAAAUGUAAAAAGGGAAACAAAAAGACCAACAGUGUAGAGGGUAGAUGGGCUUUCUGGGAUCUAAACUACUUUCAUAUCCAAUCCCUUACACUGCAACUGAUAAGCUGUUGUUAAGUCAGGACCUAAAAUACAUCAAAUUCCCAGCAGUUCCCCAGCUGAUUUGUGGGGCUUAUAGGGCAAGUUUUGAGCAUCGAAUAGCACUUGGUUUUUAACAGAGACACAUAGUUCCAUUCUCUAUUGGCAUUUUAAACCUUAUUAAGCUGGGGUUCUGUUGUUAAUUUUAUGGCAUUGGUUGACCCCUGCCAAAAUAUACAUACAUAGAAGAAAGGGGAAAAUAUUACUUUGGGCUUACAAACAUUGGAGAAAUGAAAAUGUAUUUAGAGAAAUCACUAGGAUACCUUUUGUAAUAUAUACUACAAAACAUGUAAGAUGGCAAUGCUAUCCUCUCCUCUAGCCCUGACAAGAUCAUUACAAACAGAUAUUUUGAUUUAUUUCACCUCCAAGAGCUUCCUUUCAUAUUGGAGAAGAAAUUUUGAUAAAUCACAGCUUUCAUGUGCCAAGCAUAAGACUUCUAUUUUCCUUGAAAUGCAUUGUAAGUGUAAUACUAAAUCCUUGCAAAUACCAAGAGAUUUAGAGUCUGCUUCUGGAAGGUGCUUAAUAUCUUCAUUCCUUUGCAGCUCAAAUAAGCCCCUACUAUCUAUCAAAUGUAAUACUGGACCAUUGCUUUCUUUAAGUGUCAUUAUUUUUAAAAACACAGUUGUACAAGAGUUCAGAUAUAUAGUCAGCUCUGCUCUGUUUCUUAUUGGCAAUUUAUCUGGUUUCCAGACUGACCUCACCACAGCUGGAGACACAUCAUAUGGCUCUGUGCAGAAGCAGCUUAGUGCUAGUUUAUUACCCCAGGGAGAGCCCUAGAUGAGUACAUCUGUAUUGCUCCACACUAGAGCCUGGAAACAAUGCUUCUGUGUGGAAGUAGUCCAGCUAGUAAACACGGCUGCUCUGCCAGAUUGCAAUUAGUCCCCUGAAGAACCACGGAGCUCUCUUUGCUCAGAACUC